CUCGUAGGCGGUUCGUCGCGUCCGGUGUGAAAGUCCAUCGCUUAACGGUGGAUCCGCUCCGGGUACGGGCGGGCUUGAGUGCGGUAGGGGAGACUGGAAUUCCCGGUGUAACGGUGGAAUGUGUAGAUAUCGGGAAGAACACCAAUGGCGAAGGCAGGUCUCUGGGCCGUUACUGACGCUGAGGAGCGAAAGCGUGGGGAGCGAACA
rnacentral:rRNA from 1 species